rnacentral:tRNA from 1 species
GUGACUAUAGUUCAGUCGGUUAGAGCGUCAGAUUGUGGUUNNGGUUCUGAAUGUCGUGGGUUCGAAUCCCACUAGUCACCCCU